UACGGAGGGUGCGAGCGUUGUCCGGAAUCAUUGGGCGUAAAGGGCGCGUAGGUGGCCCGGUCAGCGUGCGGUGAAAGCUCGGGGCUCAACCCCGAGUCGGCCGUGCGAACUGCUGGGCUCGAGCACUGUAGAGGCAGGCGGAAUUCCGGGUGUAGCGGUGGAAUGCGUAGAGAUCCGGAAGAACACCGGUGGCGAAGGCGGCCUGCUGGGCAGUGGCUGACACUGAGGCGCGACAGCGUGGGGAGCGAACGGG
rnacentral:rRNA from 1 species